rnacentral:lncRNA from 1 species
UUUUUUUAUUUAAAUUCAGAUUCACUUAGGUGGAAUUCAAUCUAAUUUAUUAGUUCUAGCAGAAACAGCUAGCCCUAGCUGCUUCAACAAUCAAAAAUUCAAUAAAUAACAAAAAAAUAAAUGAAGAAUGUAUGCAUCUCCAUCAAAUUAUUAUUCUUCUUUUCCAUCUAAAACUACAUCCCCCAUUCCCAAACACAUUAUAUAUUAGAUGAAUGUGGUGGAGACGAGACUUGCAGCAGCACUAGGAUACAUGUAUGCCAGACUUGUAUCUUAAUAUUAUAUACAGUUAUAAUAUAUAGGCUGACUCGAUCCAGAUUGCUGUCUAGCACUGAGGUACAGAGUUUUAACUCCAACAUGUCUAGCUUGGAUAGUGAAAUUUGGAGAAUUCACAUAUCCAUCGACCAUUGGGGCUUUGAAUUUUAGUACAAAGCACUGCAAGUGUGAUGAACCUUCAAAAACUUGGUACAAUUUUAGUACAAGUCAUUCACCUCAGCAUCCACAGGGCAAUGACUGAUUCUUAAAGUAGGUACAAGCUUGAACUUUCAGUUAUGAGCUUCAGCAUAUGACAAAUUGAAGCAGUAACCACCAAACUGGUUUCCAUCACCUGCCUGGACAAUCCCAUAAGCAGAUACAGACUCAAUAGCCAUGUUUGAAGAGAACCAUUUAAAGUUAUUUCCAAUACGCUGUAGCACAACCUACCUCCAGUUGCCUUUAUAGCUCCAUCUGGUAGACAGCAGGGGCAAUGUGUCCACCCGAGAAACAAAAGAGUUUGAACUAGACCACUUAUGAAGAGAAAAGAAGAUGGUAAAGUAACCGCCUAAGGAAAACUCUCGUGUAUAACAUUAAGAUUAUAUUGCACCAAUCAGGACAAAAACUGGACAGAGAUGAUCAAUAGACAUAGAUUCUGCCAUGUGAUCAUGUAGUGGCUCAAGCAAAUGAACAGAAACAUACUCACGGCCAAUUUAGGUUCCUUUUAAUACAUACAGGUCUGAAAAUACACCGCUAUACACGAGCCACGACAAAAAUUAAAUAUUGAAGACAACUUGAGAGGUACAUGAACAAUUAAGGUGAUGAGGCAAUCCAUCAUUUUCAGGCAUCAGCUGCCAUGUGAAUAGAAAUUUUCAACAAACGGGCAUUUAUACAUACUAUUAGAAAAGGAACUACAUUUCAAAACUAAGAAAAGUCAGUGUUCUUAAAACAGAAACUCUGUAAAAGUAAACAAUUUUGCUACAAUGUAAAAGUUACUACACUCAAAUUUAAUUUAGUUGAAGCCAACUACCUACAACCACAUGAAAGGGCAUGACCAUCUCACAUCAAGGGCCUUCAAAGUUUCAUUACCUGAGUACUUGCAUACCCUCAUGGAGCAUUUUACUUCAUUUCAUCAAAACUAACAUUACAUUUCUUCAUGUAAAGCCAGCCAGAGCCACUAAAUAGAAUCAAAGCUUAUGCCAAAAACCAACCGAGUUUCACAGUACAAUUGAUACAUGUUAUGACACAUACUUAUUAUUCACACAAAUACUUAGAUGACAAAAAAAAAAUCAGAAUUGUUUCACCCCUCCAGAAACAUGAACAAUUUUCCAAUAUGAACUUCCCAUACAUAUUAUUGGAUCCGGAUUGCAUGUUGUCACACCCUUAACAAUAAUCAUAUGUAAGUUCAUAGUUUUUUUUUUGUUAUGGCAAAUGUUGCAUCUAUUGACCCAAAGAAAGGGCACUAUAUGACAAAAAUAGAGUAUGCAACUCAACAAAAAGCUAUGAACUUUAAUUGUAAAUUUUGUAAAUAUUAAGCUGUUAGUUUAGUAGUGUUGGCGUGAUUACAAAUUUGAGGAUAUAUGGUAUCAAUAAAAAGAAGGGGAACACUAUUUCGUUUUUGAUAUUUACACAUGGUUUCUUCUCACAUGAAGGUGGGACUCACUGUAUGCUCAUGUGAACAGAACGUGUGAAAAUAUCAAAAAUACAAAAUACAUGUGAAAACAUCAGUUCCCUAAAAAAGAAGUCCUUUUACCCAAAAAAAAAAAUAAAGACCAAAUUUUUUUUUAUACAUGGACUCUAUUGCUGGGACACAUGAAUUACUGAGGAUUUGAUAGCAAAUUAAAAUAUCCUAAAGCACUCUAACUACGUUUGUUUGCAAAAAUAUUAGUGGGAUAUGAUUAUUUACACAAAUUUAUUAUCUCUACGGAUAAAUCAACUUUUGGUACCUGUACUGGGACACGACUUACAAUUUGGUACCCGAAGUGAAAAAAGUUACAAACGGGUGAUUGUACUUGAAAAAUGUUACACUCCGUUAAACAUUAAGGACACGACUUACAAUUUGGUACCCGAAGUGAAAAAAGUUACAAACUGGUGAUUGUACUCGAAAAAUGUUACACUCCGUUAAACAGUAGGGUUUCAUAUUUAUUCUGUUUGAAAAUUAAGGUUCUCUUCUUCUGUCCUUCUCUCAUUCUUCUUGUCUCGAUUCUCCAUUGAUUACUGGUUCCCAUAUAUUUAUUAAAGGGUUUUCAGUGUUUAAUUGAAAGGAUGAGCUCGUCUUGGAGUGGAAUCGUAAAUGAAAUCGGGGAAGAUUGUAGUUCAUGCAAUAAAAAUGAAUAGAUUACAACAGAGUUCCCAAGUCGUGUGGAGCAAUGGUGCGAAUGUGUGAGGCAAGGAAAGAUGGAACAAAAUAUCGAGAAUUUUCUUCGCGUCGACUUGGCUUCUCUUUCUGUAUGUUUGUCUCUCCCGUUGGAUCAAUCUUAACGAUUAUUUAAAAAUUGGAAAGUACAAGCACCAGAUUUCAACAAUUUUCGAGUACAAUCACUAGUUUGUAACUUAUUUCACUUUGGGUACCAAAUUGUAGGUCGUGUCCUUAAUGUUUAACGGAGUGUAACAUUUUUCGAGUACAAUCAUCAGUUUGUAACUUUUUUCACUCCGGGUACCAAAUUGUAAGUCGUGUCCCAGUACAGGUACCAAAAAUUGAUUUAUCCCUAUAAUCUCUUUUCGAGGUAACAAAUGAAAGUCUACAAAAUUAAAUAAUGAACUAAUCAUGAGAUUGAAUAAUAGAUUAAAAUUAUUAAAUUAGUAUAAAUAGUCGUGUCUCGUCCAUUUAAAGAGCAGAGUUGGCAUAUCAUAGCAUACGAUUUGAAGCAGCCAUUAACCAAUACUCCACACGAUGUUGACAUCUAAUAUGUGCGGUUUACAAGAUGCUGGAUUACUCACCAAAAGCACCCCAAUCAAAGUGUUUCCUGAGCACGGGAGGAAGGGGAGGAAGGAGAAGGCCUACAUUUUAUAUAUAUAUAUAUAUGUGAGGUUAACUCGGUCAGCAUUGAUGUUGCCAUAUUGAUGCCCUGGGCCCUCGACCUUGUGCAUGUUGUGAUCCAAUCCUAACACUAAAUACUUUCGAACUAAUAUUAAUUAUAUUAAACUUUUAAUUAUUAAAAACUAAUACAUAAUUAACUCAGUAGCAACAGAUGAAGCCAGGAUUUUUUUUAUUGAGGGGGACUGGGACAUAAUAUUGUAAGAUCGUGAAUAAUUUAAUGCGAUCAAAGAGCACCGUCUUUGCUCUAAAUUUUGUUAAAAAAUUUAUACUUUUGAAUUGGAAUAAGAUUUAUUUGAAUAAUAUGUAUUACACAAAGUAGAACAAAGAGAUACCAUACAAUUUGAUACUCGUUUAGUAUAUAUAUAUAUAUAUAUAUAUAUAUAUAUAUAUACAUAUAUAUAUAUUUGUUUGAAAUUAUAUUACGUAUACCAUUUUUUCAUAAAUCUUGGGGGCCAGCCUCCGAGCCCUAUACUCCCUUCGUCCAUGUCGAUAACUAACUGAUGUUGGGAAGUUGUUUAGAACUAUAAAGGGAAUUCUUGAACAAAAGUCAUGUCUACAAAUACUAAUAGAAGAGGUUCAUGCAUGUCAUAGAUCCAAUUGGAGAAAUUCAUACAUAAACCAAUCAAUUCAACAUGCAUAUUACAGGGAAUCUACUGCAGUGAAUCACAAAAACUGUUCUAAAAGUUUAAUUAGCUGGCUACAACCAGAUGGUUCUUAAAAAUAUAGAAAUUAAACUUCACAUCAUUCAAACUAGCUAGAUAAGAACAGGCAAUUCGUAUAUUCAUGUGUCACCACUACCCUGUUGUUGGAACUGGUUGAGGACAUAAGAAUGCUUAAAUAAUAACAACUAUUGCAGUAAAUAUUAUAGUCCAUUUUCCCCACUUAAACUUGUGUUGAUAUGGCAUGCAUAGUGCAAUACCAACAACUAUGUCAACUAGUGAUCCUUCCAAGUUUAUACAUCUGCCUAGGUGCACCAACAUACUUACGACAGUGAAUGAUAGUGCCGCUCCAAAUAAAUACAGAUCCAUCGUCCUGUAUUUUUGGCGCUUAGGAACAACAUUAAUAUCGUUAACGAGGGCUCCAAACAUGUCAAUCUUCAUCAAUUUCCAAAUGGUUCCUGUAAUUCAACACCAAUCAUACUUAAACAUCUCUUAUUAGCACGGGUUAAACUAUCAAUAGCCAAAAUAAGACAUAUGCCACCGUCAUCAACAGUAUAAGGCAAAAUUUCUUGUUUAAAACAUCAUAUAUCCCGGAAGAAAUGAACUUUCAAUAGUAUUUUGAAUAUAGGUCUUAUAGUAAAGACUUGACUUGAAAAGCACCAGACUCGAUAUCCAUAACAAAAGAGAAAGUAAGUAAAAAAUAAAUCAACUUGGAUCAGAAAACAUUUUCUCCCUACAAAACGAAAUAAAUACACACCACUGGCUCGGUUGAUUAUUUGAACAUAUAUAUCAAAUAUAUAUAACAGGCAGUUAAUUAAGACAUAACAUAACAUUUAGAAUAAGGGAAUUCAACAAAAGCCACGUCACAGGUGAAAUUAGACAGAAAUUAAAGUCUACAAAUGCUAACGGAGGAGUUCCAUGCAUGUCAUAGGUCCAAUUGGAGAAAUUCAUAUAUAAACCAAUCAAUUCAACAUGCAUGUGAUAGGGAAUCUACUGUCGUGGAAUCACAAAAAUUGGUCUAAAAGUUCAAUUAGCUAGCUAUAGCCAGAUGGUUCUUAUAAGUAUAGAAAAUUUCAAAUCAUUCAAACUACCUAGAUAGGGGAGGCAAAAUUAGAAUUUCCAAAAAAACAAAGCUAUACCACCAGAAUGUUGACAAGUCUCGCAUACUAUUCAACCUUGUUCAAAAAUUGAUAGUUUCAUAAGGAAAUUUGAUAUUUUUGAGAGAAACAUGAACAUUAAAUAAAACUUUCAUUCCAAAUUGAUAUAUAAUCAUAUAUUGGGCUUUCUCCAAAUUGAUAUUGGGCUUUCUCCAAACUUCCAUAGUAUUGGACUUUCUCCAAAUUGAUAUAUGAUCACAAGAAGAAUGAAAGUUUUAUUUAAUGUUGAUGUUUCUCUCAAAAAUAUCAAAUUACCUUAUGAAACAAUAAUUUUUUUUGGGAAAAGGUUGAAUAGUAUGUGAGACUUGUCAACAUUCUGGUGUUUGUUUUUUGGAAAUUCUAAUUUUGUCUCUCCGUAUCUUAGCUAGUUUGAAUAAUGAAGUUUUCUAUACUUUUAAGAAUCAUCUGGUUAUAGCUAACUAAUUAAACUUUUAGAACAAUUUUUGUGAUUCCACUGCAGUAGAUUCCGUUGAAUUGAUUGGUUUAUAUAUGAAUUUCUCCAAUUGGACCUAUGACAUACAUGGACAUCUUCUGUAGACUUUAAUGUACGUCUAUUGCACCUGUGACAUGGCUUUUGUUGAAGAAUUCUCUUAUUCUAAAUGUUAUGUUAUAUCUUAAUUAAUUGACUGCUAUAUAUAUUUGGUAUAUAAGUUCAAAUAAUCAACUGAGGUAGUCGUGGGUAUUUAUUUGGUUUUGUAAGGAGAAAAUGUCUCCGGCGGGUACGCUAGUUUAUUUUUUACUUAUUCUGCUAUGGAUAUCGGGAGUAAUGCUUUCAUCCCAAGUCUUUUCUAUAAGACUCAUGUUCAGAAUACCAUUGCCAAUUUAUUCCUUUCUAGAUAUGAUGUUAAAUUUAGCCUGAUAGCAUAUUCCUUAUUUUGACUAUUGAUAAUUCAACUCGUGCUAACUGACAAGUUUAAGUAUGAAUGGUGGUGGAUUACAAGAACCAUUAAAAAAUUGAUAAAGAUUAGCAUGUUUGGAGCCCGGUGUACGAUAUUAAUGUCAUUUCUAAGCAACAAAAAUAUAGUACAAUAGAUCUGUAUUAACUUAGAGCGGCACUAUCAUUCGCUGCCGUAAGUAUGUUGAUACGCUAAAUGGUACACCUAGGCACGUAUAAACCUGAAAGGGCCACUAGUUGACAUGCAUGUUGGUAUUGCACUAUGCAUGUCAGAUCAACACAAGCUCAAGCGUGGAUAGUGGACUGUAAUAUCUUCUGCAAUAGUUAUUAUUAUUCUAACAUUCUAAGGCAAUGUGAAACAUCUGCACCACCAACGUCGAGUUCCUUCACCACCACCUUAACAUGGUACUGGUGGCACUUGAAUAUCCUAAUUGUCUUUCCCUAUCUAGUUUGAAUUAUGUGAAGUUUUCUAUACUUUUAAGAACCAUCUAAUUAUAACUAACUAAUUGAACUUUUACACCAAUUUUUGUGAAUCUACUGUAGUAGAUUCCCUAUGCAUGUUGAAUUGAUUCGUUUAUGUGAUUCAACUGUGUUGGCACUUCCCACAAUUUGAAUACUUUGAUAAAUCAUAUAUUUGUAAUCCAAUUUGGUAAAUACCCACGUAAAUAACAAAUUUGUGGCCCUCUUUCCAGCCCUCAGCUCUUCAUCUCCACCAACAAUCCCAAGGCCAUGAACUUCAGGUUCAAAGCUGCUGCUGAUACUCUUCAAAAAUCAUAGUCCUUGUUCUAGCAAUUUCGUCAAGAACCAGCUCUGGAGGCUACCUAGAAUUGUCCAUCACUUUAUUUUCACUCUUCACUUUCCCCAACCCACUGGUCAUGGGCAUUCCUCUUUUAAAGAAUAUUUUAAAGAAUAUGUAUAGUGAAGCUUCAGGAAGCCUAAUGGUUCAAGUAGUUGCAUCACAAUGCAUCAUUUGGUACACUAUGAUGAUGUUUUUGUUCAAAUACAGAGGAGCUAGGCUUUUCAUUGCAGAACAAUUUCCUGAUACUGCUGGCACUGUAAUAUCAUUUAGAGUUAAUUCUGACAUCUUAUGUUUAGAUGGUAAAGAACCAUUACAAACUGAGGCUGAGAUUGGUGAAGAUGGAAAAUUACAUGUAACAGUGAGAAAAUAAACUAGUUCAAGGUUAGAAAUUUUCUCAAGGCGAUCACAUGGGCCUCAUUCGGGUGUUUCACUAACACCAACACCAUCAAACUUGACAAUUUCCCAACGAAAAGGUAAAUGAAGUUGUACCCAACAUUCUAUUUCCGUUUCUCUUUCUUAUUCUGAUAUAUCUUUUAUUCAUCAUAAAUGUAUCCUUUACUAUUUCUUGCUCCAAAAAUUGUUAAGGAAACAUUAUUGCAUCCUUGCUGGAGGAUAGCAAUGGAAGAGGAAAUGAUUAUUUUGGAGAAAAAUCCUACUUGGGAGUUGGUGAUACCUCCUACGACUGCAUCAAUUGUUGGUUGUAAAUGGGUGUACACAGUAAAGGUAAAUCCCGAUGGAUCUCUAUCUAGACUUGAAGUUCGAUUAGUUGCAAAAAGAUAUGCUCAAGUUCAUGAUGUUGAUUAUUCUGAGAAUUUUUUCCUGUGGGUCUUCUGUUAGACUGUUAAUUUUCUUGGUAGCCUCUCAGCACGGGCCAUUACAUCAACUUGAUGGCUUUCCUUCAUGGUGAUCUCAAAGAAAUUGUGUAUAUGAAGCAACCACCAAGUUUUAUUGCACAAGGGGAGUCGGGGGCCUAGUUUGUAAAUUGAAGAAAUCGUUAGAUGGACUGAAACAAUCACCACAAAGCAUUGUUUGGUAAAUUUACAUAAACAAUUCUACGAUUUGGGAUGUUGAGAUGUAAUUGUGAACAUUCUUUGUUCCAUCGUGAGAGUAGUGCUGUCAAAAUAUUGUUGAUUGUGUAUGUGAUGAUAUUGUCAUUACAGGAUAUGAUAGACAAGGAAUUGGUGAACUGAAAUCUUUUUUUUUUGAAGCAAAAAUUUGAGAUUAAGAUUUGGGAAAAUUGAAAUACUUCUUAGGGAUUAAGGUGGCGCAAUCUAGUAAAGGUAUUUUCCUUUCACAACGUAAUUAUGUUCUAGACUUGCAAGAAGAAAUAGGUUUCUUGAAUCAAAGCAAAUUAACACACCCAUGGACAUAAGCUAGAAACUAAUAACAGAAGGGGUAGAUCUGCUGGAAAAUUCAAAAAGCUACCGACGACUUGUGGGCAAACUCAAUUAUCAUACAAUAACUAGUUCUUAUCUUCCCCCAACAACAACAAUAUGAUUAAUAUUAAUAAUAAUAUUAUUAAUAAUAAUAAUAAAAAAAAUAAUAAUAACAAUAAUAAAUAAUAAUAAUAACGAUAAUAAUUAUAAUAAUAAUAUUAAUAUUAAUAAAAAUAAAAAUAAAUAAUAAUAAUAACAAUAAUAAUAAAUAACAAUAAUAUUAAAUUAUAAUAAUAAUAUUAAUAAUCACAAUAAAAAUAAAUAAUAAUAAUAAUGAGUAAUAAAUAAUAAUAAUAAUAAUAAUAUGAAUAAUAAUAAAUAAGAAUAAGAAUAUGAAUAAAAAUAAAUAAUAAUAAUAAUAAUAACUCAUAAUAACAAUAUAAUAAAUAAUAAUAACAAUAAUAAUAAAUAAUAAUAACAAUAAUAAUAAAUUAUAAUAAUAAUAAUAACAAUAAUAAUAAGCAAUGUUCGAAAUAGCGCUCGAGGCGCACGCCUCGAGGCGCGCCUCGUAGCGAGGCGGGUGAAAAAGUUCGCGAGGCUUACGCCUUAUCUGGCCUCAGCCGAGAAAGCGCCAUUAUCUGUCGUAGCCUGCGCCUCGUGGCGUUGCGCUUUGAGGCGUCGCGAGGCAUACGCCUUGUUUUAGAAAAAAAAAACCUAAUAUCAGAUAACUUUUUAGAAAUUACCUUAUUAUGCGUACUCUUCUGGGCUUCCUUCUCCUUCCUUCUCAGUCGAGAGUCGAGGCUUCCUUCUCCUUCUCCUUCCUUCGCAGUCGAGAGUCGAGACUUUCUCUCCUUCGAUCGAGAGUCGCGACAGAGUUCUCCUCGCGUCUGACAGUUCUCCUUCUCCUCGCGAUUGACAGUUCGUCUCUUUCUCCUAGCGACUGAGUUCUCCUUCGAUCGACUGAAAGUUAUCCUUCGAUCGACUGAGGUUUUUUUUGUAUCGACUGAGGUUUUUUUUGUAGCGACUGAAUUGAUCGACUGAGUUCGUCUCUUGUUUCGUCUCUUUCUUUCGAUCGACUGAGGUUUUUUUUGAGUCUUGACAGUUCUUUUUCUUUCUUUUACAGUGGUCAGUGUAUUACAAAUUUGAUUAGUUACUAUAUACUUAUAGUGUAUAACAAUUAUUACAAUUAUAUAAUUUACAGUGUAUUACAAAUUUUACAGUGUAUUACAAAUUUUAUAGUUUACAAUUAUAAUUUUAUAGUUUACAAUUAUAUAGUUUACAAUUAUAGACUUAUAAUGUAUAACAAUUAUAUAAUUAUAUAAUUUUCUUUCUUUUACAGUGUAUUACAAAUUUUAUAGUUUACAAUUAUAGACUUAUAGUGUAUAACAAUUAUAGUUUAUAAUUCUAUUUGAUUUUUUAGACUGUCAAUAACAAUUGAUUUUAUUAUUACAGUGAAUUAAGAUUAUGGGUAAGAAAGAUCCUGCAUGGAAAUAUGGCACCGCAGCCCCUGGAGUUAAUAAAGCUCAUUUAUAUGUGGAAUGCAAUUUUUGUAAGAAAAUUUGCAAAGGAGGGAUUACAAGAUUAAAAAAUCAUCUUGUGGGAAAUCACAGUAACGUCGAGGCUUGCAAAAAAGUACCAAGCGAAGUGAAGGAAGAGAUUGCUUCAUAUAUGAAGAAAAAUUUGGACUCCAAGGAGGAAAGACAAAGAGAUGAAGCUGAAAAAAUACAAAGUGGGUCUUAUUAUGGUAGUCAUCCAUCCGUGGGAAUGGGAGGUUCAAUCGUGGGUAGUGCCUCCGAGAGGGGAGUUCGGGGACCCAUGGACAGAUUUGUUGUGGAUGUUGAUGCUGGUGAUGAUGAUGCUACUACAAGGUGUACCGUAUUUUCAAAGGAGGCUCGUAAUGCAGUCUGUCUUGAUAUAGGUCGAUUCUUCUUUGAAAACGGGAUUCCCUUCAAUGUUGCUGAUAAUCCUUCAUUUAUAAAUAUGUGUCGAUCUAUUGGGAACUAUGGUCGUGCUUUGAAACCCCCUACCCCAUACGAGCUUAGUUCUUGGAUAUUGAAGGAGGAAGAGAAGACUACAAAGGCCUUUGUUGAGGAGGUCAAAAAGACUUGGGCACAUACGGGGGUGUCAAUCUUGUCGGAUGGUUGGAAAGAUAUUAGGGGAAGACAGCUAAUAAAUUUUCUUGUAAACAACCCCCAUGGAACUGUAUUUUUAAAAUCUGUUGAUGCAUCUGAUGCAAUUAAAGAUGCUACUUUGAUGUUUAAACUACUUGAUGAGGUUGUUGAGGAAGAGGGAGAAGACCUUGACAUUCAAGUAGUCACGGACAAUGCAUCAAAUUAUAAGGCGGCGGGAAGGAUGUUAAUGGAGAAGAGGCCACGUAUGUGGUGGACACCGUGUGCCGCGCAUUGCAUUGAUUUGAUGUUUGAGAAGCUUGGAGAGUUGCCUCAACAUAAAAAUGCUUUGACAAAGGCAAAGAAGGUAAUUACUAUUAUUAUUAUUUGGAUCUAAUUUUUUUAUUCAAUGAAUACUUGAAUUAUUAUUAUUUUUAUUCAUUAUGUAGGUAAGCAACUUCAUAUAUAAUCAUGGAUGGGUCUUGGCAUUGAUGAGGGCAAACACUAAUAAAGACUUUGUUCGGCCAGCUGCCACUAGAUUUGCCACUGCUUAUUUAACUUUGCAGAGUAUGCAUAGUUUGAGAAAGCCUUUGGAGGCUAUGUUUACAUCUAGGAAGUGGGCAAAUUGUGCUUGGGCAAAAAAACCUGAAGGUAAGGAGGUGAGAAAAAUCAUACUGAGUGAUAGGACUUUUUGGGGUAGUGUGGGAUAUGCAAUUAAGACCACAAAACCUCUAGUAGGUGUAUUGAGGAUGGCAGAUUCAGAGAAGGUGCCGGGAAUGGGAUUUCUAUAUGGUGCCAUAGACAAUGCAAAAGAAGAGAUUGCAAAAAAUCUGGAUAAUGAGGAGGGGGCCUAUAAAGAGAUAUGGAGCAUAAUAGAUGCUAAGUGGGAUAAUCAGUUACAUCGGCAUUUACACGCUGCUGCAUAUUAUUUGAAUCCUCAGUUUCAAUAUGAAGAUAAUUUCUAUGCCAAAGCGAAAGUUAAAAGUGGGAUUGUACUCAUGUAUGGACAAGCUUAUUCCUAAUGCUGUGGAAAGAGAGAAAGCUGAUUUGCAAUUGGAUGCAUUCCGAUUGAGGCAAUGGUUAUUUGGCUACACAAAUGCCAGAAACACGUGUAAGAAACGUGCUCCCGGUAAGUACCGUUGAUUAAUGUCUGGUUAUGCUUUCAUUUUGAUUAAACGUGUACCAGUAAGAUUGACAUAUGUUUUAAUAUUGAUCCAGCUGAUUGGUGGAUCGCAUAUGGAGAUGAAGCUCCAGAAUUAAGAAACUUUGCAGUGAAGAUUCUGAGUUUAACUUGCUCAUCUUCGGGGUGUGAGCGUAAUUGGAGUACUUUCAGUCAGGUAUUUAUUAGAUAUAAUCAUAUAAAUCAUUUAUUAAGAUUUUAUGAGAUCUGAUAUUGUCACUAAUGCUAAAUUACUUGUAAUAUAGAUACAUACAAAGAGAAGGAAUAGACUUUCUGCAUCCAGGCUUAACUCAUUGGCUUACAUUAUGUACAACAAAAAAUUGAAAGAUCGGCAUCUCAAGAAAAAGGCAUUAACGGAAGAAGAUCCAUUGGUUGUUGAAAAUGUGCCAUCUGAUAGUGAGUGGAUUGCGGGGGAAAAUGAUGAAAAUAUAUCGGGACUGACUUAUGGGAAUGAUGAUAUGGAGGGUGAAAGGACUCGUGGGAAUGAGAAGACAGUUGGGGGAGAAGAGACGAGGGAGAUUACACUUGGAGGGCAAGGGGCUCGGGGAACAAGUAGUAAACAAGGAAGUCAAAAGAGAAAGAGAAACACUUUGCCAUCAAAAACUAUGUCAAAAGGUUAGUGUCAUUACUUAAGUUGCCUUUAAAGUGUUCUUUAAAAAAACAUAUUCAUUUCGAUUAAAUAUAUAUUCACUUGUUUAUUUAUAGAUAAAGGGAAGGGAUUGCAAUUGGUUGAUGAAGAACCUGAGUUUGAGGAUCUUAGCACUGACAAUGAGGAGGAUGACAGAGCAAUUAGAUACGAUGAUGAUUCCAUGGAGGAUCCUCUUAGUGAUGAUAGUGAUGAUGGUGAUGGGGAUGAUGAUCUAGGAUUUGAUCCAUUAUUCAAGCCGCUAGAUACAAAUGAUACAUUACUUACAUAGUGAUGGAUGAUCACUAUAUAAGUACUUGAUGAUAUUAUGUUGUUUUGAUGUUUUGUAAUGAUACAUUACUAUGACGUUGGUUAUUUAUGUCUCCUAUGACCUUAAUUGUAAUGAUGAAUUAUUUUAUAAUUUUAUUAGUAUUUUUUCAUAAUUUUUUGGGGACUUUUAUGUCUUUAAAUCAAGGCUUCCGCCUCGCUCCGCCUCAAGGCUUACGCCUCGCAUAGCCCAGAGAAAAAUGCCUCGUACCGAUUUUAGCUUUUUCGAACAUUGAUAAUAAGUAAUAAAUUAUAAUAAUAAUAUCAAUAAUAAUAAUAAUAAUAAAUAAAUAAUAAUAACCAUAAAUAAUAAUAACAAUAAUAAUAAUACAUAAUAAUAAUAACAAUAAUAAUAAAUAAAAAUAAGUAAUAAAUAAUAAUAAUAAUAUAAAUAAUAAUAAAUAAAUAAUAAUAAUAACAAUAAAUAAUAAUAAUAAUAAUAACAGUAAUAAUAAUAAAUAAUAAUAACAGUAAUAUUAAUAAUAAUAAUAAAAAUAAUAAUAAAUAAUAAUAAUAAAUAAUUAUUAUAAUUACAAUAAUAAUAAUAAUAAUAAAUAAUAAUAAAUUAAUAAUAAUAACAAUAAUAAUAAUAAUAACAAAAUAAUAAUAAUAAUAAUAAAUAAUGAUAAUAAUAAUAAUUAUUAUUAUUAUAGUAAUAUUAAUAAUAAUAAUAAAUAUAAAUAUAAUAAUAACAAUAAUAAAUAAUAAUAACAAUAAUAAAAAUAAUAAUUCUAAGAAGAAUAAUUAUUAUUAUUAUUAUUAUUAUUAUUUUUAUUAUUAUUAUUAUAACCAAUGGAUUGAUUUAGUACAAAUCUUAUUUCUUGGGACAAUCUAACACCUAGACAUGUGCUUGGGUGGUCUUUUGACCAAAAUUUCAAAUUGGAGGUCGUGGGUUCAAUUGUUUGGAGUACCAUAUUUUUUGGAAUUAAUUAAAGAAAAGUACAUGUCAGCGCUGCCACGUGUGCCACGUAGGCAGGUCAACGCACAUGUAGCACCUAGGGGCUCGAUAUCCAAAUUUUUGAAGAGAAAUUUGAAGGUCAACGCACAUGUAGCACCUAUGUAGCAGCUAUAUAUCCCCAUCAUUUCUCCCCGGCUAGGAAAAAUUCAGCUCUGUCAAAAUGAAAUUUUCGUAACGCUCCAACAAUGUAGGAUCAAUGCGAUGAAACUCCUCCCUACCAAUCCACAUGCAAUCAAAGUCAGGCUUGCCACACCACUGAACAAAAAAUUGGCAAUAUAUUCCGCACCUAGUAGACACAAACCUCUAAUCCAAUACAUCCUCGAUACCAUUUGAUGUAGACUGUGAAGAAACAAGAAAAGGUGCUGACGAAACAGGUAAAGGAGGAACUAAUGGGUUAGUAGAUGAAAAAGGAGAUGGGGUCGACGGACUAGAAGGUACAUGAUAUGGAGUAAGAUCAGCCACAUUAAAUACAGGACCAAUACCCAUAUUACUAGGAAGAUCUAACUCAUACGCAUUAACACUAACCUUCUUUUUCACACGAAAUUGUCCCAUCCGCUUAGCAUGCACCUUUUUCCAUGUGCAUGGAGGCAAUCUCUCAACAUGGUGUCGAAGCAUACCUGGUCAUUCUCAUUGAACUAUUGGUACCUGCGAUGACCAUCUGCAGCAGACUAAAAAUUUUCAUUGCUCAAAUUAAUUUUAUGUCAUGUCUCAACAUGCAAGUCAUGAAUGUGUCAUGCAAAAAUUUAAACACACUCACUAGCUUUAUAUGUAGAGGGAAGAAGGACCAAGUCGAAAGGUUUUCUAGGGUGGUAACUAGUAUAAAUCAGAAAAGGACUCGCCCCAGUAGAGCGAUUAACCAAACUAUUAUAGGCAAACUCAGGCAUAGGUAAAACUCUAUCCAAAUAGACACGUGAUCUCCUAUAAGGCAUCUCACCAAAUCACCUAGACUCCUAUUAACUACCUCGAAUUGACCAACAGUCUGCUAGUGAUAGGAAGUGAAAAACUUAAGUGUGGUAUUUAGCUUUUUCGAUAGGGUUUUCUAAAAAUAACUCAUGAAUUUGACAUCCCUAUCAAAAACUAUAGACAAAGGCAAACCACGUAGCCUCACAACCUCGCUAAAGAAAAUUGAUGCAAUGUGUGAGCAUCAUCGGUUUUGCUGCAUGGAAUAAAAUACGUCAUCUUAGAAAAAUGGUCCAAUACAACAAAAACGAAAUCAUGACCCCUCAGGGUUCGCGAUAACCCAAGACCAAAUCCAUGCUAAUAUCCUCCCAAGGAGCAUGGAGUACCGGCAAAGGCAUAUACAACCCUAUGUUUUGCGUCCUACCCUUAGCAGUUUGACAUGUACGACACUCAGAAACAACACGAGGUACAUCCUUCUCGAGGCUAGGCCAAAAAAACCUAUCCUCCACAAUUGCAAUGGUCUUAUCGCGACCAAAAUGACAUGCGAUCCCUCCCGCAUGUAACUCUCAAACUAAAUGCUCAGGCAUAGACGUGCUAGGAAUACACAUCAUGAAUACGAAAGUGGGUGCCCUUUUUAAGAUUUCUAUUUCGAUACUUAUAUUAAUGGGUGAGAUUUUGGGAAAAACACAGACAUAAAUGCUGACGAAUUUGAAAAGCUUGAUUUUUAAUGAUGGCCUAAUUAGACAGUCGCCAGUUGGUACAAGUUUAAAUGGAUGUACCAACUCAUCCGGUUUUCGAAGUUUUCGUAAUUUGGCCCAAUAUGUAACUCCGUAAAAUUAGUCUUGAAACCGAGAUUCAUAGAGUUCGAGAGCUUGCUUAAAGCGAGAGCAAGGUGUUUGGGCCUGGAGUGAUGAAGAUAAAGAACUAAAUCAUACAAUAAAAAGGGCUAGGGUUAGGGCCUGGAGUGAUGAAGAUAAAGAACUUUAAUCCAUCAUCUAUAAGGAUAUAAACUUAAAAAGAUAAUGCAAACAGUAACUGUCCAAAAUUAUUGAAGGAGAUAAUCAAUUGUAACAAGUUUAGGUUUCAAUCAGUCAAAUUACUAUUAAUACCAUCAGCACAGCACGGGGAAAAACACAAUACUGUUUCAUCCGAUGUAAAACGUUGGUCAAACUAAAGAAAGCAGAAUGAAUUAUUGAUGCAACUUUACUUCCAUUCACAAAAAUUCUUCAUAAAAAAAAGUUAGGUUUAGUGAAGAUACUUAAUAAGUUAACAUACUUGAAGCAUAUGAAUAAGAAAGAAAGUGAAGUUAGAUAGACCUGAAGCUUGAGUAUUAAUGAUAAGAAUAAUAUGUCCUUUAACCAAGUAUCCAAUAGCAAAUACAAAGAUCACAUAUCAAAAUAUAACAUCUGAUAUUACAAUUUCAUUCAUUCAAAAUUUCCAGAGUACAUAACCUUUAUUCAACUAUAAUUGCAGAACAAUGGUAAUGGACAAAAAAAUUGAAGAACCAAAAGAGAAACAAUAUUAUAGUAACUAAUUAAAAAAACAUCAAGGUCUAAAAUCAACAACCGUACAAUUAGACAAAUAACGUUUACUAUUCUGGCAAAAAAAAUCCUAACACUACUUUAAAAUAGCAGUAAAGUCGUAUGAUGAAAUAGUAGAUUAAAUAUGUUACACAUGAUUAUAUAAUUCCUCCCUAGAAACUGAUUAAUAUUUCUCAAUUUGUCAUUAUAAUGUCAUUAUGGUCCCAUAUUCCUAAAAUUAUACUCAAUAUUCACAAAUUUUACUAAUAAAACUCUAUUUGUUGGAUGGAGGAGAUAUUACUGAGAAAUGAAAGAAAUGAAAGAACUGAAAGAAGCAUGUAAUACCUUCAGAAAAAAAAAUCAGAAGCUAUGGCAGACCAUCGGAGACGAAUCACAAGCCGGAAGAACGAAACCCCUCACACACUCGCCCUAUAGGUGCAGUGCUGGCCUUUCAAUUACCAAGGCGGCUUAGGUGGGGUUUAUUUUAAGAGAGAAAAAGAUAUGAAGGUAAAGAAGAGUUAGGAACUUCGGGUAGAAUAAGAAGGAAAAGGAUGAAGGGGAGGACAGAGGAGGCGGCGAGAGAAUGGGGGAUGAGAGAAGUAGGGUUUAAUAUGUUUUGUUAUUGUAUUGCAUUUUUUUUGUAAUUAUUUUAUGAAUAUAUUAAUUUUGUAAUUAUUUUU